UGAGAAAUAUAUAAUUUUAAAUAUUUAUAUAUUAGCAACUUAUAUAUUUUUAGUCAAAAAUAGAGAUUUAUGCCAAAAGUAAACCACUAAGAAUAUAAAAUAAUUAAAUUACUGCUGCGAUGAUGAACAAGUGAUGGAUUUGUGAAAAUUCUAGAAUUUCAAAAUAAUGGUGAAUUAAUUUUAAUUAUUUACUGUUUCUGAUAAUUUUUUAUUUUUAACUUAGAAAUAAAAAUUAGGCUAAAAUAAAAUUAUAAUAAAAUAAUAAGAUAAUCAAGAUCAAUGUGGUAAUUAGUUUUCUGGGAUUUCUGGAAAUUUUGAGUUUUUUUAAGUGAAUUAAUUCCAAUUAUUUAUUAUUUCUAGCAUUCUUUUAUUAUUUAGCAAAAAUUAGUGAUUUGGUCAAAGUAAAAUUACUAAAAUAAUAAAAUACUAAAAAUCAAUAUGGAGAAUGAAUUUCGGUUAUUUCUGAAAUUUUUAAAACUUUAGGUGAAUUAAUUUUAAUUAUCCACUAUUUUUAGUAAUUUUUGAUAUUUAGUCUAAAAAUAGAAAUUAGGCUAAAAUAAAAUCACUAAAAAUAAUAAAAUAAUCAGAAAUAAUAUGAGGAAUGAUUUUCUGAUGGUUAUGUAAUUUAUUUGAGGCUUGGAUGAUAUUUUGAAUAUUGUCUAAAUGAUGACAAAUAAAAAGUUAAGCAAGAAUUUAACUUAAAAAAUUUUGGGUGAUGUAAUUAAAUUGAAUUAGAUAGAAUAUGAAUGAAAAUGGCUGGACUUGAUGGAUUUAGUGUUUAGAAAUGGUUGAAAUUCACUAAGUAAUUUCGGUCUAUGCUAAAAUAUUAAUGGCAAAUAGAUUUUAAUGAAAAUAGUUAGAAUUUGUGGGCUAAUUUUUGGUUUCAAUGUGUUCAUGGAUGUGUUUAUAGUGUCAAAUUGAUGUGUUAGGUACAUGUCAGAUAUUAUAAAUUGUAGCCAGAAUUAACAAUGGCUUACUCGAUCUUGUAGAUUGUAUGUAGAAUGUGAAAAUUGAUAUGGAUGUGUAUGGAAAGUGCAUGUAAUGUAUUUCUUAGCGUGAACGAUAUUUUGCACUUAAACAAUUAUAACUCUUUAAUUUACUUCGGCAAGUGGUGUCUAAAACUUCUUAAUCAACUAUCAAAUUUUAGGAAUGUGUAAAAUAUAGAUGGAAUUUUGGCAAAUUUAUGUAUGGAAUCGACAUGCUCAAAUUUAGAAAUUGUUAGGACUUUGCUUGUACUAGUAGGGUAUGUCGUCUCAGGCUCCGACUGAGAUUUUUUCUUAUAUCUCUGCUCUGGAUCCAUCAGAUGCUAUUACUGCAUUAUCGCUACUAUCGCCAUUACCACUAUAAGCACUUCUACUAACACUUCUUCACAUUCUCAGAUACUGUUUCCUACUCUUAUGCCUUUAAAAUUUUAUUUGAAAGCCAAUGACUUAUUUGUAGCUUUCUUCCUUAAAUCCCGAGUCUCUUUGUAGACCAAUUCUUUGCUCCAUUAAUAAGAAUUUGAUGCUUCACCCU